rnacentral:RNase_P_RNA from 1 species
AGUUCGUGGCAGAUGUUCGUCCCGACUUAGUCGGGAAGGAAAGUCCGAACGCCCUUUCCGUCUGUCCGCCCUUAGCGGAACUAGCCGGUAAAGAAAAAGGCAACGGGUAACACCCGCCACGUCGGCGGCAACGUCGGCGUAGGGAAAGCGGCACAGAGACAAUACUAGCGAUUCAUGAGAGUCCGCCACAGGCGGACGUUCACCCCGACUUAGUCGGGGUUCGUCAAAGGUGAAAAGUGUAUGGGAGUUGUGGUUCUCGAGACCAAAGCUACCAUACUCCCUUCGGCGGCAACGUCGAAGAGUGCCAAGCCCUGUCUGGCGCAAGAGCAGAGUCCCGACUUAGUCGGGAUAAAAAGUUCGCUCGCUAAGAUUUUGACAGCAAUGUCAAGACCAGAGAAAUGAACAUCGCCCCGACGUAACGUCGGGGUACAAAAUUCGGCUUAUAACCAUGAACCACAA